AGGAAAAACAGCGGAUGGAUGAGAAAGUAGGCACAACGGAUGUGGCUGGCGCCUGUACCGAGCUUUUGCUGCGACACCGAGCCUUCUAUUCGCGAUAUUUGUUAGUCGGGUAGUUGCCAACAGCGCGUUGCGAUCUUUUCUCUGCCACCACCACCACCACCACCAUCGCCACGGCCACCACCACCACCACCACCACCGUGUAACGAGCGAGACCCACCUCCUCCAUCGGCGCCAACUUCCACCGUCGUAUCCUCCACUGGGCGCUCGCUCGUGGACACGCGCGCGCGCGCGAGAGAGAGAGAGGAAGAGGGAGAGAGGAAAGUAAAACGGUGGCGGUAGGUAGUUCCUCAGACGAGUUCUCGUCGGCGUGGCGCAAAGGUGGAACGGAACGGAAAACUACUGGUGGCGAGUCGGGUGGUGGUCCUCGUGGUCGGGUGUGAGGCGCGCGUGCGAGCGAGGCCGAGAGCGAAAGGGAGCAGGCGCGAGAGCUGGCCCGAUCCGGACACAGGGACACGGGUGGUAGGUUCCUCGCGUUGCGAUUCGAGACGAGAGGCGAGCGAGAAGGAAAACAGGAAGGACGGACGGAAGGAAGGAAGGAAGGAAGGAAGGAAGGACGGAAGGAGGAAGGAGUAGCAGGAGAAGAAAGAGGAGAAGGAGGAGGAGAAGGAGUAACAGCAGCGGCGGCGCCGGCAGCAACAGCAGCAGCAGCAGCAGCAGCAGCAGCAGGGGUAGGGGAGCGAAAAGGAAGGAGCUUCGCGGAAAGAUCGGACUCAGUGUGUCAGUGUACCGAACGGUGCGUUCAGAUGAUAGGUGCCUCCCGGUGGAGGCGCUUCAGUCGGCCGGCCGCGAUCCGCUUGAUCGAGAUAUUCCGCGCUGCUGCGGCGACGGGACGCGUGUCACCGCCUUCGUUCGCGUCCUACCGUCUACUUUGCCCGUCUCGGUCCACUUUGCCACCGUCUACUCUUGGUGCUCGUCCCCGUGACCGAAGGCGUUGUCGUCCUUGACGAGACUCUCGGUCUCUCUCUCCGUUCGCCUGGCCCGUGGUUACGCGUCGAAAACGGAAAUCUCGAUGGCUCGUGCGCCGUGGCUGCCACUGUGCUCGGCCCGCCUCUCCACUCUCGUACCUUCGUUCGUCGUCUCCGUCUCCGUCUCCGUCUCCGUCGUCGUCGUCGUCGUCGUCGCCGUCCUCGCCGUCGUCGCCGUCGUCGUCGUCGUCGUAGCCGCCGCCGAUCGACACCAUCACCACCAACAGUGAUCGCGUGUGAACGAUGCGUCAGAGUAACGGAACGCACCGCGUCAGUUAACGCUUCCUGUGGCUGUGUGUUGUGCGCUGCUGCCGCUACUGACUGCGCUGCUGGUGCUGCCUCUUAGCGUCGCUGAUCAUUGGUGUUCGCGUCACGGUGAUCGUUUUUGGUAGUGCUCGUGUUGGUUCCUCGUGGUGGAUCGGUCUCGUGUCGGUGCCCGAUUGGUGUUGGUGCGACGGAGCAAACGAAACUGGACAGGGCGAGGGAGGGAGGGGGAGAGAGCGAAAGAACGAACGAAAGAAAGA